UACGUAGGUGGCAAGCGUUGUCCGGAUUUAUUGGGCGUAAAGCGAGCGCAGGCGGAAAGAUAAGUCUGAUGUGAAAGCCCCCGGCUUAACCGAAGAAGUGCAUCGGAAACCGGGCGACUUGAGUGCAGAAGAGGACAGUGGAACUCCAUGUGUAGCGGUGGAAUGCGUAGAUAUAUGGAAGAACACCAGUGGCGAAGGCGGCUGUCUGGUCUGCAACUGACGCUGAGGCUCGAAAGCAUGGGUAGCGAACAGG
rnacentral:rRNA from 1 species